GGUCAUGAGUGCUCACCCCAGUGUCUCUCAGGCUCACUCAGGCUGUGCUUUCAGACUGUGAACAAACAGGAUGGUGAAAAAUGCAUACAACUGACAAGACUCAGUGCUGGAGAAGGAGAAGCUGUCAGAGACACAGAAGGUGGUGACCGUUAAUGAGAGGGUAAACACAGAACCCUGGGGAGGAAGAGAGUCCCACCAACGUAGCUCCUGUUCUCUUCCUCCUACCAUGACACGUACUGUUAUGCUCCCAUAAUGG